GACGAACGCUGGCGGCGUGCUUAACACAUGCAAGUCGAGCGGUAAGGCCCUUUGGGGUACACGAGCGGCGAACGGGUGAGUAACACGUGAGUAAUCUGCCUUUGGCUUGGGAAUAACUUCGGGAAAUCGGGGCUAAUGCCUGAUGUUUACUGUCUGCUGCAUGGUGGGUGGUGGAAAGAUUUUUUGGCCAGGAGUGAGCUCGCGGUCUAUCAGC
rnacentral:rRNA from 1 species